UGUCUGUUGUCGAUGCUCUUGAUGGACACAAUCGUCUUGGAUUUCUUGUCUCAAGUAACCUAUAUUUUCUCAAAGAUCAUGAUGAAAUUGCCAGGGUGCACUUUUUAAUAGCACUUGGUAAACUGGUGAAAAAUGGGCAUGAUGGCUUCCUUGCAGUUCAGAGUGGAAUUGCUUACCUCAGAAGGAUUCUGCACAUCUUCCCUAACUGUAGUUUGAUAAGGAACCUUGUUGGCUAUCUCUCACUAUCUGGUAAAGAGUCGAACAGUUGCCAUCUGGCUAUAAGGUGUUGUAAACUGGACCAUCUUGACCUUUCUGAUAAAGAAGGUUUAAAAUCAGCUUCUGAUAUUCAUGGUAUUGCAGUAGUUGCCUGCUAUGCCAAUGGGAACAGUAACCCAAAGUCUACUUUUCAAACUUGUACAAAUCAGUGUUCUAGAGCUCCUG